ACUCCUACGGGAGGCAGCAGUAGGGAAUCUUCCACAAUGGGCGCAAGCCUGAUGGAGCAACACCGCGUGAGUGAAGAAGGGUUUCGGCUCGUAAAGCUCUGUUGUUAAAGAAGAACACGUAUGAGAGUAACUGUUCAUACGUUGACGGUAUUUAACCAGAAAGUCACGGCUAACUACGUGCCAGCAGCCGCGGUAAUACGUAGGUGGCAAGCGUUAUCCGGUAUUUAUUGGGCGUAAAGAGAGUGCAGGUCGGUUUUCUAAGUCUGAUGUGAAAGCCUUCGGCUUAACCGGAGAAGUGCAUCGGAAACUGGAUAACUUGAGUGCAGAAGAGGUAGUGGAACUCCAUGUGUAGCGGUGGAAUGCGUAGAUAUAGU
rnacentral:rRNA from 1 species